rnacentral:rRNA from 1 species
AGAGUUUGAUCAUGGCUCAGAACGAACGCUGGCGGCAGGCUUAACACAUGCAAGUCGAGCGCCCCGCAAGGGGAGCGGCAGACGGGUGAGUAACGCGUGGGAACGUACCCCCCGGUUCGGAAUAACUCAGGGAAACUUGAGCUAAUACCGGAUACGGCUGGAAGGCGAAAGAUUCAUCGCCGGGGGAUCGGCCCGCGUCCGAUUAGCUAGUUGGUGUGGUAACGGCGCACCAAGGCGACGAUCGGUAGCUGGUCUGAGAGGAUGAUCAGCCACAUUGGGACUGAGACACGGCCCAAACUCCUACGGGAGGCAGCAGUGGGGAAUAUUGGACAAUGGGCGCAAGCCUGAUCCAGCCAUGCCGCGUGAGUGAUGAAGGCCUUAGGGUUGUAAAGCUCUUUCACCCACGACGAUAAUGACGGUAGUGGGAGAAGAAGCCCCGGCUAACUUCGUGCCAGCAGCCGCGGUAAUACGAAGGGGGCUAGCGUUGUUCGGAAUUACUGGGCGUAAAGCGCGUGUAGGCGGGUCUUUAAGUCAGGGGUGAAAUGCCAAGGCUCAACCUUGGAACUGCCUUUGAUACUGGAGAUCUUGAGUCCGGGAGAGGUGAGUGGAACUGCGAGUGUAGAGGUGAAAUUCGUAGAUAUUCGCAAGAACACCAGUGGCGAAGGCGGCUCACUGGCCCGGAACUGACGCUGAGACGCGAAAGCGUGGGGAGCAAACAGGAUUAGAUACCCCAGUAGUCC